rnacentral:rRNA from 1 species
AGUGAACGCUGGCGGUAGGCCUAACACAUGCAAGUCGAACGGCAGCACAGUAAGAGCUUGCUCUUACGGGUGGCGAGUGGCGGACGGGUGAGGAAUACAUCGGAAUCUACUUUUUCGUGGGGGAUAACGUAGGGAAACUUACGCUAAUACCGCAUACGACCUACGGGUGAAAGCAGGGGAUCUUCGGACCUUGCGCGAUUGAAUGAGCCGAUGUCGGAUUAGCUAGUUGGCGGGGUAAAGGCCCACCAAGGCGACGAUCCGUAGCUGGUCUGAGAGGGUGAACAGCCACACUGGAACUGAGACACGGUCCAGACUCCUAAGGGAGGCAGCAGUGGGGAAUAUUGGACAAUGGGCGCAAGCCUGAUCCAGCCAUACCGCGUGGGUGAAGAAGGCCUUCGGGUUGUAAAGCCCUUUUGUUGGGAAAGAAAAGCAGCAGGUUAAUACCCCGCUGUUCUGACGGUACCCAAAGAAUAAGCACCGGCUAACUUCGUG